rnacentral:rRNA from 1 species
GACGAACGCUGGCGGCGUGCCUAACACAUGCAAGUCGAGCGGGGACAUUGCGACGGACAUGAAGAUUUCGGUUGGAUUGAAAGAUGUAAUGUUCUAGCGGCGGACGGGUGAGUAACGCGUGAGCAACCUGUCCCUUACAGGGGGAUAACACAGCGAAAGUUGUACUAAUACCGCAUAAGACCACAGGAUGACAUCAUCCAGGGGUCAAAGGAGCAAUCCGGUAAGGGGUGGGCUCGCGUCCGAUUAGAUAGUUGGUGAGGUAACGGCCCACCAAGUCGACGAUCGGUAGCCGACCUGAGAGGGUGAUCGGCCACAUUGGGACUGAGACACGGCCCAAACUCCUACGGGAGGCAGCAGUGGGGAAUAUUGGGCAAUGGGGGAAACCCUGACCCAGCAACGCCGCGUGAGGGAAGAAGGUUUUCGGAUCGUAAACCUCUGUCCUUGGUGAAGAGAA